GGCGACAUAGCUCAGUUGGGAGAGCAGCAGACUGAAGUUGAUGAGAUAGAGAUGACAUUUAUCUGAAGGUCCCGUGUUCAAGCCACGGUGUUGCCA